ACGGGUGAGUAACACGUAGGCAACCUGCCCACCAGACGGGGAUAACGACCGGAAACGGUAGCUAAUACCGGAUAGAUCCUGUCGCCGCAUGGCGAGAGGAAGAAAGGCGGCUUGGGCUGUCGUUGGUGGAAGGGCCUGCGGCGCAUUAGCUAGUUGGUAGAGUAACGGCCUACCAAGGCGACGAUGCGUAGCCGACCUGAGAGGGUGAACGGCCACACUGGGACUGAGACACGGCCCAGACUCCUACGGGAGGCAGCAGUAGGGAAUCUUCCGCAAUGGGCGCAAGCCUGACGGAGCAACGCCGCGUGAGUGAAGAGGGUUUUCGGAUCGUAAAGCUCUGUUGCCAGGGAAGAACGACUUUUGGAGGAACUGCCAGAAGAGUGACGGUACCUGAGAAGAAAGCCCCGGCUAACUACGUGCCAGCAGCCGCGGUAAUACGUAGGGGGCAAGCGUUGUCCGGAAUUAUUGGGCGUAAAGCGCGCGCAGGCGGCCGUUUAAGUCCGGUGUAUAAGCCCGGGGCUCAACCCCGGAUCGCACGGGAAACUGGAGGGCUUGAGAACAGCAGAGGAGAGUGGAAU
rnacentral:rRNA from 1 species